CGGUAAACCAGCACCUCAAGUGUCAGGAUGAUUAUUGGGCCUAAGCAUCCGUAGCCGGCUCUGUAAGUUUUCGGUUAAAUCUGUACGCUCAACGUACAGGCUGCCGGGAAUACUGCAGAGCUAGGGAGUGGGAGAGGUAGACGUACUCGGUAGGAAGGGGUAAAAUCCUUUGAUCUAUUGAUGACCACCUGUGGCGAAGGCGGUCUACCAGAACACGUCCGACGGUGAGGGAUGAAAGCUGGGGGAGCAAACCGGAUUAGAUACCCGGGUAGUCCCAGCUGUAAACUAUGCAAACUCAGUGAUGCAUUGGCUUGUGGCCAAUGCAGUGCUGCAGGGAAGCCGUUAAGUUUGCCGCCUGGGAAGUACGUACGCAAGUAUGAAACUUAAAGGAAUUGGCGGGGGAGCACCACAAGGGGUGAAGCCUGCGGUUCAAUUGGAGUCAACGCCAGAAAUCUUACCCGGAGAGACAGCAGAAUGAAGGUCAAGCUGAAGACUUUACCAGACAAGCUGAGAGGUGGUGCAUGGCCGUCGCCAGCUCGUGCCGUGAGAUGUCCUGUUAAGUCAGGUAACGAGCGAGAUCCCUGCCUCUAGUUGCCACCAUUACUCUCAGGAGUAGUGGGGCGAAUUAGCGGGACCGCCGCAGUUAAUGCGGAGGAAGGAAGGGGCCACGGCAGGUCAGUAUGCCCCGAAACUCUGGGGCCACACGCGGGCUGCAAUGGUAACGACAAUUGGUUUCGAAUCCGAAAGGAUGAGGUAAUCCUCAAACGUUACCACAGUUAUGACUGAGGGCUGCAACUCGCCCUCACGAAUAUGGAAUCCCUAGUAACUGCGUGUCAUUAUCGCGCGGUGAAUACGUCCCUGCUCCUUGCACACACCGCCCGUCGUUUCAUUGAAGUGAGCUUUUAGACGAGGUGACGUCUAAUUGGCGUUAUCGAACUGAGUUCUGAA
rnacentral:rRNA from 1 species